rnacentral:rRNA from 1 species
GUAGGGUAACCUGCCCCAAACGAGAUCGGGAUAACAACCUGGAAACAGAUGCUAAUACCGGAUAACAACGGAUGAUGCCUAUCAACUGUUUAAAAGAUGGUUCUGCUAUCACUCUUGGAUGGACCUGCGGUGCAUUAGCUAGUUGGUAGGGUAACGGCCUACCAAGGCGAUGAUGCAUAGCCGAGUUGAGAGACUGAUCGGCCACAUUGGGACUGAGACACGGCCCAAACUCCUACGGGAGGCAGCAGGG